UGAUUUAUUUUAAAGGGCCGCGGUAUACUGACCGUGCGAAGGUAGCAUAAUCAUUAGUCUUUUAAUUGAAGGCUUGUAUGAAUGGUUGGACAAAAAGCAAACUGUCUCAGUUGUAAUAAUUGAAUUUAACUUUUGAGUGAAAAGGCUUAAAUAAGUUAGGGGGACGAUAAGACCCUAUAAAGCUUGACAAUAAGCCGUUUAUAUUAUAAAUUGUUAGUAUAACUUGAUUUUAAAUGGUGUUUGUUGCGUUGGGGCGACGAGAAUAUAAAAGAUAACUGUUCUUAUAAUAUUUAAUAACAGAAAUAGCUGGAAAAUUAAUGAUCCUUUCUUUAAGAUCAUAAGAUUAAGUUACUUUAGGGAUAACAGCGUAAUCUUCCUUGAGAGUUCAUAUCGACAGGAAGGGUUGCGACCUCGAUGUUGAAUU
rnacentral:rRNA from 1 species